GCACUAUAAACGCACCUUAAAGGGCAACUCCGGCAUUUUUUUAACAAUAUUAGGAUAUUGUCAUUUUCAAAUGGCAUUGACAGUCCUGUCACCGGUAGGGUGGUUCAAAUUGCUUAUAAGUUCAUCAUUCAUUUUACAUAACUAAUAAACGAGGUACUGCAACCGAAAUGGGUAGC
rnacentral:lncRNA from 1 species